AACAUGGGCCAGAAUUUUCCUAAUUCUGUCGGUUCUGCUGUUUCUCUCUAUUGAAGUGGGCCUUUUGAUUCAUUUUCAACAACAGUUUAUAUCAAAUCCACCAAGACGUCCGGAGGCUGUACAGUUUAAUGUGGGGCCAGAAGAAGCUGGAGUUCUGAUGUAGACCCAAAGAGACGGGAAACGGUACCAUGCUGUCGACUGUGGAGGUAAACGUAUCACCUUCACUGUUCAUGAAGCUGCAUGUCGACUCUAAAAUUUAACUGGGAGGAAAAACUGUGGAAAGAAACUUCAAACAGUUCCUGAGAGAAAUCUUCUGUGAUGGUGUCUGGGAUGAAUAUGAGGAAAGCUUCCCAAUGAGGUUCAGAAGAUGAUGUUUGAUUUCAUACAUCUGAAAUAUUUGAAUAAAGAUGUUCAGAUCAGUUGCCCGAGUAACCUGGUCAUGUUGGCUGAGAAACAGAAAAAGAAAGAGAUUGAAACGAGGAAGGAGCUUCCUGGGAUGAUGGAUUCAUCAGAAUCUCUAUCACUUUCUAUUCUCUGUGUUCACUUCCUGUUCUUCAUUUAAUUUGAUUUCAUUAUAUUACUGGAUCACAGCUGAACUCCAGCCCUUAAGACAAUGUUGCAAUUGUUUUUGUUCUGAUUAAUUCAGAGAAUAUGUACACUUGUUUUAUUGUUAAUUUGUUUUUGUUCUUUUUUUGUAUUAAUUAAAGCAAUUGUCCUAUUUCUCAGAAACCAAGAAAUCAAUCAUUUGGAUUCAAAUUUACAGACUGAAUUAACACUAAAAGUAAAUUUUGUUCUAAGUUGGGUUUUCCUGCCGCCUUUCUGUUUUGUGGUUUUGAAUCUGACGUGAAAAUAGAUCUGAAAAAACAAAACGGAUCCUCGCUUUUUUCACUUUUUUCUUUUGAUGCUUAUGUUUAUGCUUCCUUCCAUUUCCUUGUAAAUUUGCUGCUGAA